GACAGAGGGGUGCAAACGUUGUUCGGAAUUACUGGGCGUAAAGCGCAUGUAGGCGGCCACGCAGGUCGGAUGUGAAAUCCCUCGGCUCAACCAAGGAAGUGCAUUCGAAACCGCAUGGCUGGAGUCCCGGGGAGGGUGGCGGAAUUCUCGGUGUAGAGGUGAAAUUCGUAGAUAUCGAGAGGAACACCGGCGGCGAAAGCGGCCACCUGGACGAGGACGUGACGCUGAGAUGCGAAAGCGUGGGGAGCAAACAGG
rnacentral:rRNA from 1 species